rnacentral:rRNA from 1 species
GUAGUCUGCAACCCGACUACACGAAGCUGGAAUCGCUAGUAAUCGCGAAUCAGAAUGUCGCGGUGAAUACGUUCCCGGGUCUUGUACACACCGCCCGUCACACCAUGGGAGUCGGGAAUGCCCGAAGUCAGUGACCCAACCUUUGGAGGGAGCUGCCGAAGGCAGGUCUGAUAACUGGGGUGAAGUCGUAACAAGGUACC